GUGGGGAAUAUUGGACAAUGGGCGCAAGCCUGAUCCAGCAAUGCCGCGUGGGUGAAGAAGGCCUUCGGGUUGUAAAGCCCUUUUGUACGGAAAGAAAUCCUGGUGGUUAAUACCCGCCGGGGAUGACGGUACCGUAAGAAUAAGCACCGGCUAACUUCGUGCCAGCAGCCGCGGUAAUACGAAGGGUGCAAGCGUUAAUCGGAAUUACUGGGCGUAAAGCGUGCGUAGGUGGUUUCUUAAGUCUGUCGUGAAAGCCCUGGGCUCAACCUGGGAAUGGCGAUGGAUACUGGGAGGCUAGAGUGCGGUAGAGGAUGGCGGAAUUCCCGGUGUAGCGGUGAAAUGCGUAGAGAUCGGGAGGAACAUCCGUGGCGAAGGCGGCCAUCUGGACCAGCACUGACACUGAGGCACGAAAGCGUGGGGAGCAAACAGGAUUAGAUACCCUAGUAGUCC
rnacentral:rRNA from 1 species